rnacentral:rRNA from 1 species
AAAGAUUAAGCCAUGCAUGUCUAAGCACAUGCCUUAAUACGGUGAAGCCGCGAAUAGCUCAUUACAACAGCCACCGUUUACUAGAAUAUAGUUAUCCUACUUGGAUAACUGUGGCAAUUCUAGAGCUAAUACAUGCAGAAAAGCUCUGCCCGCAAGGAACGAGCGCAUUUAUUAGAAUAAAAACCAAUCGGGUUUCGGCCCGUAAUUUGGUGAAUCUGAAUAACUUUGCCAAUCGCACAGUCCUAGUACUGGCGAUGUAUCUUUCAAGUGUCUGCCUUAUCAACUUUCGAUGGUAGGUUAUACGCCUACCAUGGUAGUAACGGGUAACGGAGAAUAAGGGUUCGACUCCGGAGAGGGAGCCUGAGAAACGGCUACCACAUCCAAGGAAGGCAGCAGGCGCGCAAAUUACCCACUUCCAGAACGGAGAGGUAGUGACGAAAAAUAACGAGACAGUCCUCUUCGAGGUCUGUCAUCGGAAUGGGUACAAUUUAAAUCCUUUAACGAGGAUCUAUUGGAGGGCAAGUCUGGUGCCAGCAGCCGCGGUAAUUCCAGCUCCAAUAGCGUAUAUUAAAGUUGUUGCGGUUAAAACGCUCGUAGUUGGAUCUGCGGCCUCGGAGAACGGUCCCCCGAAAGGGUGGUCACUGUCUCUCCUAGCCUAAAUUCGAGUCGUCUCUAGGUGCUCUUUACCGAGUGCUUAGAGUGACUAGAACGUUUACUUUGAAAAAAUUAGAGUGCUUAAAGCAGGCGAAAUAGCCUGAAUAAGGUGCAUGGAAUAAUGGAAUAGGACCUCGGUUCUAUUUUGUUGGUUUUCGGAACCCGAGGUAAUGAUUAAGAGGAACGGACGGGGGCAUUCGUAUUCCGGCGCUAGAGGUGAAAUUCUUGGACCGCCGGAAGACGGACGACUGCGAAAGCAUUUGCCAAGAAUG